rnacentral:rRNA from 1 species
AAUCAACGCUGGCGGCAUGCCUAACACAUGCAAGUCGAGCGAGAAAGGGUAGCAAUACCUGAGUAAAGCGGCGCACGGGUGAGUAACACGUGGAUAACCUGCCUCAAAGUGGGGAAUAACACCGGGAAACCGGUGCUAAUACCGCAUAUUCUGACGAAGUCUGCGGAUUUUGUCAGGAAAGGAGCAAUUCGCUAUGAGAGGGGUCCGCGGCUGAUUAGCUAGUUGGUGAGGUAAUGGCUCACCAAGGCUUCGAUCAGUAGCCGGUCUGAGAGGACGGUCGGCCACACUGGAACUGAGACACGGUCCAGACUCCUACGGGAGGCAGCAGUGGGGAAUUUUUCGCAAUGGGGGCAACCCUGACGAAGCAAUGCCGCGUGGAUGAUGAAGUAUCUCGGUACGUAAAAUCCUUUCGACGGGGACGAAACCGCAAGGUUGACGGUACCCGUAGAAGAAGCCCC